rnacentral:rRNA from 1 species
GUGCCAGCAGCCGCGGUAAUACGGAGUGUGCAAGCGUUACUCGGAAUCACUGGGCAUAAAGCGCGCGUAGGCGGGCUUUCAAGUCGGUUGUGAAAUCCCUCAGCUCAACUGAGGAACUGCAUCCGAUACUGUUUGUCUUGAGGACGAGAGGGGAGAGUGGAACUUCUGGUGGAGCGGUGAAAUGCGUAGAUAUCAGAAGGAACGCCGGUGGCGAAAGCGACUCUCUGGCUCGUAUCUGACGCUGAGGCGCGAAAGCUUGGGUAGCAAACGGGAUUAGAUACCCGCGUAGUCC